rnacentral:lncRNA from 1 species
ACUAUAAUAAGAAAUAUAAUUAUACAAAUGGAAUCAUAAAUAGGAUUGACAUACACAAUUAUGUCUACAGAAAAUGAAUCCAUGCAUACAUACUGGGAGGUACUUAUCAAGUGGUCCAAGACUCCAGCUAACUGAAAUAAAUUAAGUACUAAUUCUGCACUAAACUAUGUAAUAAAUGUAAAAUUGAACCAUUCACAAGGGAAAGGGUUAAAAAUUUUACACUAACAAUUUGGUCACAUCUUUCUUUAUUCAUGUCUCAUACAUACAAUCACGUAAGAUUUUCUUGGUUUUAAUUCUUAUUAUUGUGUAUAUGUUAUUAUGGAUUAAAUGAAAUUCGAUCUCUUAGUUUAUUUUCCAAACAAAAUAAACAUGUAUAUGUAUAUCUAAUAUCCCAACUGCAUUCUAGAUAGGAUGUUAUUGGCCAGGAAAGAGUUGCAAGGAUAAGAUAAAAAGUGAGUUCUACCUUAUCCCUUUCCUCCUAAAGCUAAAGAUCUUCAUGUAGCCUCAUAAUAGUAAUAUACCAGCUUAUGAGAUUGAGCAUUUAUGAUCCUUAUCUCCUGCUUUUAACUUCAGACAAGAUACAUGCCAUGAACCAAGUCAUGGGUUAUGCUGCAUAUCAAAAGCUUUUCCCUUACCUCAUUCAUUCAAUCCAACCAGAU